rnacentral:rRNA from 1 species
AUUGAACGCUGGCGGCAGGCCUAACACAUGCAAGUCGAGCGGAUGAAGGGAGCUUGCUCCUGGAUUCAGCGGCGGACGGGUGAGUAAUGCCUAGGAAUCUGCCUGGUAGUGGGGGAUAACGUCCGGAAACGGGCGCUAAUACCGCAUACGUCCUGAGGGAGAAAGUGGGGGAUCUUCGGACCUCACGCUAUCAGAUGAGCCUAGGUCGGAUUAGCUAGUUGGUGGGGUAAAGGCCUACCAAGGCGACGAUCCGUAACUGGUCUGAGAGGAUGAUCAGUCACACUGGAACCGAGACACGGUCCAGACUCCUACGGGAGGCAGCAGUGGGGAAUAUUGGACAAUGGGCGAAAGCCUGAUCCAGCCAUGCCGCGUGUGUGAAGAAGGUCUUCGGAUUGUAAAGCACUUUAAGUUGGGAGGAAGGGCAGUAAGUUAAUACCUUGCUGUUUUGACGUUACCAACAGAAUAAGCACCGGCUAACUUCGUG